UCUCUCUCUCUCUCUUUCUUUCUCAAACUUGUUCUCCACAGUCCCUUUCUUUGGGUUCUGCCUCCCUAUCUCUCUCUCACCUCUCUCUCCCCAUCUUCAUCUCCUUGUCUACUAUCUCCAAACCUAGCCAGCACGUCCAAGCGAAUACCCAAAUAACUCAAACCAAAAUCACAUAAAUCAGUUUACGAUAAAAAGCAGCAAGCAUGCAAUUUCUGUAUUUCUUUCUGUCUGCCACUUUCAUCCAACCAUUUCGUGCAUCAGAAAAAACUCAAAAGGAAGGCGCAGUUUCUGGGCAAAAUCAGUCAAAGUUGUUGUUUUGGCCACCUCCAUAGCUUUGUCAACUUUGCUGCCAUCAAACACCUGCACAACAGGGGCCUCAACCAUGCAAUACAGUGAAAGAAAAAAAAAAAAAUCUGAAGCUUAUGUUGAACAUCAAGAACCUCAUAAAAUCAGAGCCAGCAAAAUCCUUCCUCUCUGUCAUUACUCAGCACAAGUCAAAAUCCCAGCUCUCCUCAUCGAAUUCAUUUGAAAAUACCCCCCAAUCCUCAAAGAAUUUUUCCCUGGGGACAAAGGUGUACAUCCCCACAUGCUCACACAACAAGUACUUGAUCUUAAUGCUGAAGAGGAAUCAGUUUACCAAAGUGAGAGUUAUAGGCAAUGAUAGGAAUUGGAUUACCCGAUUCGAGCUUUUGAUUUUUGAUUCUUAUUCAUCUUGAUGUAUUUCUGUUGUUGUUUUGUUGGAUUGAAUGGAUGAUGCAAAUGGAUGUGUAUUUAUAUUUUGACAGUAUGAGGAUGUUGGAAGUUUAAUGGGGGAUUGAGGGCAGUUGGAAAUAGAUGAGGGAGAGGUGGGCAGGAGAACCAAAGAGAGAGAGGGGAAGGGAGGACAGAGAUAGGAGAGAGACGGAUUGUGGAGGGAGAGGGGAAUAGAGAGAAUAUAUUUUUUCUUUUGCUCCUAUCACAUCAGUCUGUUUACCUGUAAACCAGCAAUGGUAACUUACAAGGAGUUUAUUGUUCACUAAAUUAAAUUUAAGGAGUUUUAUGUUACAAACUGAAAUUAUGUAUGGUGUUAUUACAACACAUUAAGUUUAUGGAUGAUGAGUGAAAUAUACACAAUUGUUUUCAUAUGGAGAUACAUUUUACAUAGUUCCUCAAAGUUGUGAAAGAAUGUUGCAUUGUUGCUCACGAUCAACUAAUUUGGACAUUAUUUGAGGAGGUUUUUUUUCCUCUUUAUUCCCUUUAUACUUUGAAGGUUGUUGAACAAAAUAAAAAAAGAACUCAUCCAAGAUAAUUUGUCUGUACAUUAUUGAGGGAUCUUUUUUCCCAUUUUUUGAUCUUUUUAUGUUGCCUGCUCCCUCUUGUAAAUGAGACCAAUUAUGUCUAAAGUCUUAGGGAUAUUGUGAUAUUUAAUGGUUUAAAAUAUAUGUUGCAAGUCAUCCAUGAAUUUGACCGUAGUGCUUUGUGUUUAGGGGACAUGGUCACAAUACGAAGGCCUUCCACAUUGUUGGACCUGGGAAGGCUGUUUAUGUGCUUGUGACAUCUAGGUCAUAAUGGGACAAUCUUAGCACUAUGUUAAGGCUUUGAGGAGUCGGGAAAGAUUUUUAACUUAUUUUUACAAUUUAUACUUGCUAUUUCCUCUGGGGAAGAUUUUAACUUAUUUUUAUAAUUUAUACUUGCUAUAUCCUCUGUUUUGUGUCAGAGGAAAUGGGGACUUGAGGUUCUUUGGGUUCACUGCGUUGUUGGUAAAGAUAGAUUAAACAAUAUUUCAUCUAUGCAGGCAAUGACUACUGGCAAAAAAUUCCCUGACUACUAUUGAUAACUAAGGUCUUAAGAGAGGCUUUCAGCCUUAAAUAACUUUGCUGCAAUUAUGAUCCCUGCCUUCUCUUCACAGAUGAGGGGAUAUUGAUAUGUUUUUGUACUGCAAAGAUAUUGUUCUGAGGAUAAUCUCUUAGUUAGACAAUGUAUAAUUCCUGAGGCUGUUGAGAAUUUUAGCUGUAGUGCCAACCACCAGAGGAUGGAGCACUGUGAUUGCAUAACAGAAAUCAGGAAACUGUAGAAUAUGCACUGAAUUUGGAUCCUUUGUUCUUGAUGGCGUUGCCACAACUUGCUAUGGCCAAGAAGCAGAGACGUUUUGAGGAAUAUCUCAACUUCCCGGGGUGGCUCUGGUCUUGGUGAUGCACCUGAAUUGAUUACAUCUUACAAUUUAUUGCAGACGUCCAAGCGGUUUUUUGGUAGAUCCCAUCUUCUGAGAUAAAGAAAAAGCCAAUGCUUUUUCAAACAAAUGCCCUUUACAGAAGCUUUCAAAGUAAUCAAGACUGAACUUGGGUUCGUGUUCGACGUUCUCUGCACCAGGGCACCCAUAAUAUAUUCUUUCCAAGGCUGCCUUCUUCGUUGCAUCAGUUUCUUUUUCACUGACACUAUCAUGGUGCUCUUCUCUGCAUUUGUGGCUGAUCUGUAGAAAUUUUCAAAGGCUGAUCUAGCCUAAACUUCUG
rnacentral:misc_RNA from 1 species